rnacentral:rRNA from 1 species
GACGAACGUUGGCGGCGUGCUUAACACAUGCAAGUCGAACGGACAGGCCCUGCUUUUGUGGGGUGCUCGAGUGGCGAACGGGUGAGUAACACGUGAGUAAACUGCCCUUGACUUUGGGAUAACUUCAGGAAACUGGGGCUCAUACCGGAUAGGAGCUCCUGCUGCAUGGUGGGGGUUGGAAAGUUUCGGCGGUUGGGGAUGGACUCGCGGCUUAUCAGCUUGUUGGGGGGGUAGUGGCUUACCAAGGCUUUGACGGGUAGCCGGCCUGAGAGGGUGACCGGCCACAUUGGGACUGAGAUACGGCCCAGACUCCUACGGUAGGCAGCAGUGGGGAAUAUUGCACAAUGGGCGGAAGCCUGAUGCAGCAACGCCGCGUGCGGGAUGACGGCCUUCGGGUUGUAAACCGCUUUCGCCUGUGACGAAGCGGGAGUGACGGUAAUGGGUAAAGAAGCACCGGCUAACUACGUG